CACACACACACACACACACACACUUUGCAUUGCCAGUCCAUGCUUCAGUGCUCUGCGAGUGUUUAUAGCCCUGUGACUUUAACACUUCAUGACUGAGAGCUGCUGCUCAGCAACUUCACCCACAGCAACCAUGACUUUGAUCAGCGUCUUCAUCUGCACACUGGCCCUCUGGACUCAAGGAUCCAGAGGUCAGGUGACUGUGACUCAGACACCUUCAGUGCAAACUGUUGAUCCAGAAGAAACAGUCACCUUCAACUGUAGAACCAGUAGCAGAGUGUAUGUUGGUAGCGUUCUACACUGGUACCUGCAGAAACCUGGAGAAGCUCCUAAACUCCUGAUCUACUUGGCUACUAGCUUACAGUCAGGAACUCCAGCUCGUUUCAGUGGCAGUGGAUCUAAUACUGACUUCACUCUGACCAUCAGAGGAGUCCAGACUGAAGAUGCAGGAGAUUACUACUGUCAGAGUGUACAUGAGAUCGGUAGUAGCUAUGUGUUCACACAGUGUUAGAGCGCCGUACAAAAACCUCGGUCAGUGAGAGUGCACAGAGAAGCACUGCUGCAGCUGGGAGCGACUGCAGGUGCUGAGGGGGAGGAUGUGAUACAGCACAAUGACACACUGUGGACGAGAGAAAACACACCACACUAACUCACUAAUGCACACACACAUCUGUGAGAGGAGUCUACCUUUCUCUCAAGAAAACCAUAAAUAUAAAGAAUUUACAACAUAAAAGUCCAUCAAGUUAUGUGUAAUAAAGUGGAAUGACACAGGAAAAAAGUAUUGAACACGCUAAGAAAAAGCAUUUCUCCAAGGCAAGGUAAGGAAAGGAACCAUCUGAAAUCUGUAAGUAAUUACACCCCCUAUCUGUGCACAUUAAUAUCAGCUGGGUUAGUACAUUGAUGGUCUAUAAAAAGGCUUUUUGUUACAAAGGUGUCACACAUGAAACAUCUAAUGAUGGGUAAAAUCAAAGAGCGCUCCCAAGACUUUUGGAACAUUAUUGUUGAAAAACAUAUUGAUGGAAUCGGAUAUAGACGUAUUUCAAAACUUCUGAAUCCUCCAGUAAGCACCACUGGGGCCAUUAUCCACAGGUGGAAGCAACAUCACUCCGUCAUCGCACAGGAGCUCCUCGGAAGAUUUCUGACCCAGGAGUCAGAAGAAUAGUCAGAAGAGUAGCCCAAGAGCCAAGGACCACUCGGAAAGAGCUCCAGAAACACUUGGAGGCAGCAGGAGCCAUUGUCACAGAGAAAACAAUAGGCAAUGCACUCCAUUGCUCACGCUCACCGAGCAAGACUCCAUUACUAAACAAAAGGCAUGCCGAAGCUCGUUUAAAGUUUGCUACAACUCAUUUGGACAAGCCUGUGAAAUACUGGGAGAGUGUAGUCUGGUCAGAUGAGAGCAAAAUUGAACUUUCUGGGUGUCAUACUACACACCAUGUUUGGAGAAGAAAUGUCACUGCACAUCACCCUAAAAACACUACACCACCAGUGAAGUUUGGAGGUGAAGCAUCAUGGUGUGGGGCUGUUUUUCAUCACAUGGUAUUGGCAGGAACGAUGAAUGGAGCCAUUUACCGAGAGAUUCUUGAAAAGAAUGUGCUGCCAUCCACCAGGAUGAUGAAGAUGAGAUGUGGGUGGAGCUUCCAGCAGGAUCCAAAGCAAUCAGCAAAGGAAACUCUCAACUGGUUUCAGAGAAAAAAAAAUCAAGGUGUUAGAAUGGCCCAGUCAAUCACCUGACUCGAAACCAAUUGAACAAGCUUUAAAGACAAUAUGUUUAGAAGAACGGGCCAAAAUCACACCUGAAUACUGCGGCCCAUUAAUUUUUUCAUACAGGAAGUGUCUUGAAGCAUCAUUACAAACAAAGGCUUCUCCACUAAGUAUUAAACACAUUUCAGUUAGCGUGUUCAAUACUUUUUCCCCC